GACGAACGCUGGCGGCGUGCUUAACACAUGCAAGUCGAACGCUGAAGCUCAGCUUUUGUUGGGUGGAUGAGUGGCGAACGGGUGAGUAACACGUGAGUAACCUGCCCCCUUCUUUGGGAUAACGCCCGGAAACGGGUGCUAAUACUGGAUAUUCACUGGUCUUCGCAUGGGGGUUGGUGGAAAGGGUUUUUCUGGUGGGGGAUGGGCUCGCGGCCUAUCAGCUUGUUGGUGGGGUGAUGGCCUACCAAGGCUUUGACGGGUAGCCGGCCUGAGAGGGUGACCGGUCACAUUGGGACUGAGAUACGGCCCAGACUCCUACGGGAGGCAGCAGUGGGGAAUAUUGCGCAAUGGGCGCAAGCCUGAUGCAGCGACGCCGCGUGAGGGAUGGAGGCCUUCGGGUUGUGAACCUCUUUCGCUCAUGGUCAAGCCGCAACAAUGGUUGUGGUGAGGGUAGUGGGUAAAGAAGCGCCGGCUAACUACGUG
rnacentral:rRNA from 1 species